rnacentral:rRNA from 1 species
GACGAACGCUGGCGGCGUGCCUAAUACAUGCAAGUCGAGCGAAUUGAUGAAGAAGCUUGCUUCUUCUGAUGUUAGCGGCGGACGGGUGAGUAACACGUGGGCAACCUACCUUAUAGCUUGGGAUAACUCCGGGAAACCGGGGCUAAUACCGAAUAAUCUAUUUCCCCUCAUGAGGAAAUACUGAAAGACGGGUUCGGCUGUCACUAUAAGAUGGGCCCGCGGCGCAUUAGCUAGUGGGUGAGGUAACGGCUCACCAAGGAGACGAUGCGUAGCCGACCUGAGAGGGUGAUCGGCCACACUGGGACUGAGACACGGCCCAGACUCCUACGGGAGGCAGCAGUAGGGAAUCUUCGACAAUGGACGAAAGUCUGAUGGAGCAACGCCGCGUGAGUGAAGAAGGAUUUCGGUUCGUAAAACUCUGUUGUAAGGGAAGAACAAGUACAGUAGUAACUGGCUGUACCUUGACGGUACCUUAUUAGAAAGCCACGGCUAACUACGUGCCAGCCGCCGCAGUAAAAC